rnacentral:rRNA from 1 species
UACGGGGGGGGCAAGCGUUGUUCGGAAUUACUGGGCGUAAAGGGCUCGUAGGCGGCCAACUAAGUCAGACGUGAAAUCCCUCGGCUUAACCGGGGAACUGCGUCUGAUACUGGAUGGCUUGGAUUCGGGAGAGGAAUGCGGAAUUCCAGGUGUAGCGGUGAAAUGCGUAGAUAUCUGGAGGAACACCGGUGGCGAAGGCGGCAUUCUGGACCGAUAUUGACGCUGAGGAGCGAAAGCAUGGGUAGCGAACAGG